UACGUAGGGCGCAAGCGUUGUCCGGAAUUAUUGGGCGUAAAGAGCUCGUAGGCGGUUUGUCGCGUCUGCUGUGAAAAUCCGGGGCUCAACCCCGGACUUGCAGUGGGUACGGGCAGACUAGAGUGUGGUAGGGGAGACUGGAAUUCCCGGUGUAGCGGUGAAAUGCGCAGAUAUCGGGAGGAACACCGGUGGCGAAGGCGGUUCUCUGGGGCCUUACCUGACGCUGAGGAGCGAAAGCGUGGGGAGCGAACAGG
rnacentral:rRNA from 1 species